rnacentral:tRNA from 1 species
GAGGAUGUAGCUCAGUGGUAGAACACUUGCCUCACGUGCAUGAGGCCCUGGAUUCAAUAUCCAGCACCAUCC